rnacentral:sRNA from 1 species
UCAAACUGGCUGAUAUGGUUUUUCGGC